rnacentral:rRNA from 1 species
CCGGCGACCGGCGCGCGGGUGAGUAACACGUAUGCAACCUGCCCUCUUCAGGGGGACAACCUUCCGAAAGGGAGGCUAAUCCCGCGUAUAUCGGUUUCGGGCAUCCGAGAUCGAGGAAAGAUUCAUCGGAAGAGGAUGGGCAUGCGGCGCAUUAGCUAGACGGCGGGGUAACGGCCCACCGUGGCGACGAUGCGUAGGGGUUCUGAGAGGAAGGUCCCCCACACUGGUACUGAGACACGGACCAGACUCCUACGGAAGGCAGCAG